rnacentral:rRNA from 1 species
ACAAUGCGGGACUAUCAGUCUUGCAAUUGGAUUGAGAACAAUGUACAACUCUUAUCGAUAAGCCAUUGGAGGGCAAGUCUGGUGCCAGCAGCCGCGGUAAUUCCAGCUCCAAUAGCGUAUAUUAACGUUGUUGCAGUUAAAAAGCUCGUAGUUGAAGUGUGGGUGAUCGCUGUUGUGAGACUUCGGUCUCUCGACAGUAAGUCACCCCCUUCCAGUAUCCAGUAGUGGGUAUUCACUUACUUACUAUUGUGUGUUGGUCGUUUACUGUGAGAAAAUUAGAGUGUUCAAAGCAGGCGUUUGCUUGAAUAGAUUAGCAUGGAAUAAUAAUUGAAGGCUUUCGUGUUCGAUUUGAUUGGUUUGUUCAUGGAAGCAAGGUUAAAAGGAACAGUUGGGGGUAUUCAUAUUCACUAGUUAGAGGUGAAAUUCUCGGAUUUAUGGAAGAUGAACAA